rnacentral:siRNA from 1 species
ACGUUAUCAGCAUGAUGUCUUUAC